rnacentral:tRNA from 21 species
GCGGGUAUAGUUCAGUGGUAGAACGCAAGCCUCCCACGCUUGAUGUCGCCGGUUCGAGUCCGGUUACCCGCU